UGAAGUUUUUGAUCUGGUCAGAUUGAACGCUGGCGGCAGGCUUAACACAUGCAAGUCGAGCGGAGAGAGGUAGCUUGCUACAUAUCCUAGCGGCGGACGGGUGAGUAAUGCUUAGGAAUCUGCCUAUUAGUGGGGGACAACAUUUCGAAAGGAAUGCUAAUACCGCAUACGCCCUACGGGGGAAAGCAGGGGAUCUUCGGACCUUGCGCUAAUAGAUGAGCCUAAGUCAGAUUAGCUAGUUGGUGGGGUAAAGGCCUACCAAGGCGACGAUCUGUAGCGGGUCUGAGAGGAUGAUCCGCCACACUGGGACUGAGACACGGCCCAGACUCCUACGGGAGGCAGCAGUGGGGAAUAUUGGACAAUGGGGGGAAGCCUGAUCCAGCCAUGCCGCGUGUGUGAAGAAGGCCUUAUGGUUGUAAAGCACUUUAAGCGAGGAGGAGGGUACUGUGUGAUUAAUACUACUCAGAUAGUGGACGUUACUCGCAGAAUAAGCACCGGCUACUC
rnacentral:rRNA from 1 species